rnacentral:rRNA from 1 species
GACGAACGCUAGCGGCGCGCUUAACACAUGCAAGUCGAACGGAGAUUACAGGCGGAAGUUUUCGGAUGGAAGCUUGUAAACUUAGUGGCGGACGGGUGAGUAACACGUGAGCAACCUGCCUAUCAGAGGGGGAUAACGAUUGGAAACGAUCGCUAAUACCGCAUGACAUAGCGGAAUCGCAUGGUUCUGUUAUCAAAGAUUUUAUCGCUGAUAGAUGGGCUCGCGUCCGAUUAGAUAGUUGGUGGGGUAACGGCCUACCAAGUCGACGAUCGGUAGCCGGACUGAGAGGUCGAACGGCCACAUUGGGACUGAGACACGGCCCAGACUCCUACGGGAGGCAGCAGUGGGGGAUAUUGCACAAUGGGGGAAACCCUGAUGCAGCGACGCCGCGUGAGGGAAGACGGUCCUCUGGAUUGUAAACCUCUGUCUUCGGGGACGAAACGAGACGGUACCCGAGGAGGAAGCCACGGCUAACUACGUGCCAGCAGCCGCGGUAA